GAAUAUGGGGGGACCAUCCUCCAAGGCUAAAUACUCCUGACUGACCGAUAGUGAACCAGUACCGUGAGGGAAAGGCGAAAAGAACCCCGGCGAGGGGAGUGAAAAAGAACCUGAAACCGUGUACGUACAAGCAGUGGGAGCACCCUUCGGGGUGUGACUGCGUACCUUUUGUAUAAUGGGUCAGCGACUUAUAUUCUGUAGCAAGGUUAACCGAAUAGGGGAGCCGGAGGGAAACCGAGUCUUAACCGGGCGUUAAGUUGCAGGGUAUAGACCCGAAACCCGGUGAUCUAGCCAUGGGCAGGUUGAAGGUUGGGUAACACUAACUGGAGGACCGAACCGACUAAUGUUGAAAAAUUAGCGGAUGACCUGUGGCUGGGGGUGAAAGGCCAAUCAAACCGGGAGAUAGCUGGUUCUCCCCGAAAGCUAUUUAGGUAGCGCCUCGUGAAUUCAUCUCCGGGGGUAGAGCACUGUUUCGGCUAGGGGGCCAUCCCGGCUUACCAACCCGAUGCAAACUGCGAAUACCGGAGAAUGUUAUCACGGGAGACACACGGCGGGUGCUAACGUCCGUCGUGAAGAGGGAAACAACCCAGACCGCCAGCUAAGGUCCCAAAGUCAUGGUUAAGUGGGAAACGAUGUGGGAAGGCCCAGACAGCCAGGAUGUUGGCUUAGAAGCAGCCAUCAUUUAAAGAAAGCGUAAUAGCUCACUGGUCGAGUCGGCCUGCGCGGAAGAUGUAACGGGGCUAAACCAU
rnacentral:rRNA from 1 species